CCUGGCUUCUCUCUCUGCUUUCCCUCUCAUAGUGGCUUUCUUAAUAUUCCUGACAUGCAUGAACUUGAAGAAGUCUGAGUCUCUUUAAGUCUCAUAAGUAGAAAUCUGGUAGAAAAUCAUCACAGCAAUGUACUGUAGACAGAAUGUCAUUAUUGAUUUCUCUCUUAAAUUCAGAUGUGAAGAUGAUUAAAAUCCAGAGGCCAUGUUAAAAGUCCAGAAGAUCAGAAUUCUGAGGAUGUGACUGUAAAUGAUGUUUCAGUAAGAUUGGACACCGCUGUGAGAGGAAAUUGCAGCCAUGCUUUUAAAAUAUAAUUAUCGAGAAGGACAAAGCCCCCGUCUUCUGGUCUAAUUUUAAAGUGUGCCCUCUUGCACACACAGAUAACUCAAUCAUACUGAGCACCUCCUUCCCCAAAGCCCUUCCCUGCUGCAGCACUAGCUUCCUGUGGCUCCGGGAAACUUCCUUAUUUUUUAAAUAAGUGACUUCACAUCUUUCAUUCUCACCUCAGAAAUACUGGUCAUUAUUGCAAUAAUCUUGAAUAAAGAAUUCCUGGCCUAUGUAA